AGGGGGCGUCGGGGGACGCUCGACGGUGAGGGACACCAGGGGACCGUGAAGGACGCUCGAUGCCAAGGACACUGCAGGGGACACUUAAUGCCGGGGGACACUGCAGGGGACACUGGAUGCUGGGGACACCACGGGGGACGGUUGAUCUUGAGGACACCAUGUUGGGGGAUGUGGGGGGCGAUGCUCGAUGCUGGGGACACCGCAGGGGACACAUGACGCCAGGGGACACCAGGGGAUGCUCAAUGCUUGGGGACGCUGGGGGGGGGACAUCAUGCUGGUGGAUGUUAGGGGAGGCUCAAUGCUGGGGACAUAGCAGGGGACAUUUGACAUCGGGGACAUCAUGGGGGAUGCUCAAUGCUGGGGACACUGUGGGGGACAGUUGACUCUGGGGGACAUCAGGAGACACUGGGGGAUGUGGGGGGACGCUCGAUGCUAGGGACACCAUGAGGGACACUUGAUGCUGGGUGAUGUCAGAGGACACUCAAUGCUGGGGACACCACAGGGGACACUAGACACCAUGGGGACACUCAACAAGGGCAGACACUUUGAUGCUGGGGGCACUCAGUGCCAGGGAACACUUGAUACUAGGUGACACUCAAUGCUGGGGGACACCACAGGGUACUUGAUGCCAGGUGACACUUGACACCAGGGGACAUUGACACUGGGGGACACUGUGGGGGGGGUCACUCGACGCCAGGGGACGCUCAACACUGGGGGAUGCUUCAUGCCAGGGGACACACAGGGUGACAUGUGACAUUAGGGGACAGGGACACCAGGGGACACCACAGGGUCACCUCCUUGUGGUCCCGAUGUGGCAGCGAGUCCCUGUGGUGAAAGCGAGAACUCAAGGCUGAGCCAGUGGCUUCCCAGGGCCACCAGGCCACUGCCCCCCCACAGCCAGCAGCCACCUCCCCCUCUCACGGGAGUCAUGAGGCCACCACCCCCAACUGCGGUCAUGGGGCCACCUCAGCCCUGGGGCCACCUUGUUGAUAGGGUCCCUCCAUCCCUGUGGUGGCCUCAUCCUUGUGGUCACCCUGUCCCUGUGGCCACCUUGUCCUUAGGGUCACCCCCCAUCCCUGUGGCCACCUUGGCUUUGAGGGUCACCUCAUCCUUGUGGCUACCCUUUCCCCAGGGCCACCUUGUCCUUAGGGUCACCUCAUCCUUGUGGCCACCACAUCCUCAGGGCCACCAUGUCCUUGGGGGGAGGGGUCACCUCAUCCUUAGGGUCACCACAUCCCCAGGGCCACCAUGUCCUUGGGGGUCACCUCAUCCUUGUGGCCACCACAUCCUCAGGGCCACCAUGUCCUUGGGGGGAGGGGUCACCUCAUCCUUAGGGUCACCACAUCCCCAGGGCCACCAUGUCCUUGGGGGUCACCUCAUCCUUGUGGCCACCACAUCCCUGUGGCCACCACGUCCUGAGG
rnacentral:lncRNA from 1 species